AACGAACGCUGGCGGCAGGCUUAACACAUGCAAGUCGAACGCCCCUUACGGGGAGUGGCAGACGGGUGAGUAACGCGUGGGAAUCUACCGUGCCCUGCGGAAUAGCUCCGGGAAACUGGAAUUAAUACCGCAUACGCCCUACGGGGGGAAGAUUUAUCGGGGUAUGAUGAGCCCGCGUUGGAUUAGCUAGUUGGUGGGGUAAAGGCCUACCAAGGCGACGAUCCAUAGCUGGUCUGAGAGGAUGAUCAGCCACAUUGGGACUGAGACACGGCCCAAUCUCCUACGGGGGGCAGCAGUGGGGAUUAUUGGACAAUCGGCGUAAGCCUGUUCCAGCCAUGCCGCGUGAGUGAUGAAGGCCUUAGGGUUGUAAAGCUCUUUCACCGAUGAAGAUAAUGACGGUAGUCGGAGAAGAAGCCCCGGCUAACUUCGUGCCAGCCGCCGCGGUAAAAC
rnacentral:rRNA from 1 species